GACGAACGCUGGCGGCGUGCCUAAUACAUGCAAGUAGAACGCAGUUGCGAACGGGUGAGUAACGCGUAGGUAACUGCCUCAUAGCGGGGGAUAACUAUUGGAAACGAUAGCUAAUACCGCAUACUGUGUGAUGGCCUUGCUUUGUAUUAGCUUGUUGGUGAAGUAAAGGCGUACCAAGGCGACGAUAGCAAGCCGACCUGGGAGGGUGAGUGGCCAACCCGGGACUGGUACACGGCCCAGACUCCUAAGGGAGGCAGCAGUAGGGAAUCUUUGGGAAUGGACGGAAGUCUGACCGAGCAACGGCGCGUGAGUGAAGAAGGUUUUCGGGUCCUAAAGCUCUUUUGUUAGGGAAGCGGUAACUAAUCAGAAAGGGACGGCUAACUACGUGCCAGCAGCCGCGGUAAUUC
rnacentral:rRNA from 1 species